rnacentral:rRNA from 1 species
CGUAGGACGCAAGCGUUGUCCGGAGUUACUGGGCGUAAAGCGCGGGCAGGCGGCUCGAUGCGUCUGAUGUGAAAUCUCCUCGCUCAACGGGGAGAGGCCAUUGGAAACGGUCGAGCUGGAGGGCAGUAGAGGCAGGCGGAAUUCCGGGUGGAGUGGUGAAAUGCGUAGAGAUCCGGAGGAACACCAGAGGCGAAGGCGGCCUGCUGGGCUGCACCUGACGCUGAGCCGCGAAAGCCAGGGGAGCGAACGGGAUUAGAAACCCCGGUAGUCCUGGCCGUAAACGAUGUGUGCUGGAUGACGGUCCGAACGGGUCGUUGUCGAAGCUAACGCGAUAAGCACACCGCCUGGGGAGUACGGUCGCAAGGCUA